rnacentral:rRNA from 1 species
CCUACUGGAGGCCGCCGUGGGGAAUCUUGCGCAAUGGGCGAAAGCCUGACGCAGCGACGCCGCGUGAGGGAUGAAGGUCUUCGGAUCGUCAACCUCUGUCAGCAGGGAAGAACGGUCACUGUGCUAAUCAGCAGUGAAUUGACGGUACCUGCAAAGGAAGCACCGGCUAACUCCGUGCCAGCAGCCGCGAUAAUCCGGAGGGUGCGAGCGUUAAUCGGAAUUACGGGGCGUAAAGCGCUCGUAGGCGGUAUGUCAAGUCAAGGGUGAAAUCCCCGCGCUCAACGUGGGAACUGCCUUUGAAACUGGCAAACUGGAGUGUGUGAGAGGAUAGUGGAAUGCCAGGUGUAGGAGUGAAAUCCGUAGAUAUCUGGAGGAACAUCAGUGGCGAAGGCGACUAUCUGGCACAUAACUGACGCUGAGGAGCGAAAGCGUGGGUAGCAAACAGGAUUAGAUACCCUUGUAGUC